rnacentral:rRNA from 1 species
GAAACGGCUACCACAUCUAAGGAAGGCAGCAGGCGCGUAAAUUACCCACUCCCAGUUCGGGGAGGUAGUGACGAAAAAUAACAAUACAGGACUCAUAUCCGAGGCCCUGUAAUUGGAAUGAGUACACUUUAAAUCCUUUAACAAGGACCAAUUGGAGGGCAAGUCUGGUGCCAGCAGCCGCGGUAAUUCCAGCUCCAAUAGCGUAUAUUAAAGUUGUUGCGGUUAAAACGUUCGUAGUUGAACUUGUGCUUCAUACGGGUAGUACAACUACAAUUGUGGAUUGUACAUUACCUUAUGUAUGCAAGCGUAUUAUCGGUGGAGUUCUUAUAUGUAAUGAUACUUGUAUUGUUAUGUAUACCUCCUAUUUAAACCUGCUUCAGUGCUCUUCAUCGAGUGCUGUUGUGGGCCGAUACAAUUACUUUGAACAAAUUAGAGUGCUUAAAGCAGGCUCCAAAUGCCUGAAUAUUUUGUGCAUGGAAUAAUGAAAUAAGACUUCUGAUCUACUUUCAUUGGUUUUUAGAUCAAGAUGUAAUGAUUAAUAGAAGCAGUUUGGGGGCAUUAGUAUUACGACGCGAGAGGUGAAAUUCUUGGACC